rnacentral:rRNA from 1 species
GAUAAACGCUGGCGGCGUGCAUGAGACAUGCAAGUCGAACGGGUGACUCGGGCUUGCUCGAGUCGCUAGUGGCGGACGGCUGAGUAACGCGUAGGUGACCUGCCCCGAAGUGGGGAAUAACUGCCCGAAAGGGUGGCUAAUACCGCAUGUGGUGGUGUGUUAAGCGCACCAGUAAAGCCGCAAGGCGCUUCGGGAGGGGCCUGCGUCCGAUUAGCUCGUUGGUGGGGUAACGGCUUACCAAGGCGACGAUCGGUAGGUGGUCUGAGAGGACGAUCACCCAGACUGGGACUGAGACACGGCCCAGACUCCUACGGGAGGCAGCAGUCGGGAAUUUUGCGCAAUGGGCGAAAGCCUGACGCAGCAACGCCGCGUGAGGGAUGAAGGCCUUCGGGUUGUAAACCUCUUUUCUCAGGGAAGAUGAUGACGGUACCUGAGGAAUAAGCCACGGCUAACUACGUGCCAGCAGCCGCGGUAAUACGUAGGUGGCAAGCGUUGUCCGGAUUUACUGGGCGUAAAGAGCGCGCAGGCGGUCGUUCAAGCCGAGUGUGAAAGCCCCCGGCUCAACUGGGGAGGGUCACUCGAUACUGAUCGACUCGAAGGCGGGAGAGGGAAGUGGAAUUCCCGGUGUAGUGGUGAAAUGCGUAGAUAUCGGGAGGAACACCAGUGGCGAAGGCGACUUCCUGGCCUGUUCUUGACGCUGAGGCGCGAAGCUAGGGGAGCAAACGGGAUUAGAUACCCCGGUAGUCCUAGCCGUAAACGAUGGACACUAGGUGUUGGUGGUAUCAACCCCGCCAGUGCCGAAGCUAACGCAUUAAGUGUCCCGCCUGGGGAGUACGGCCGCAAGGCUAAAACUCAAAGGAAUUGACGG